rnacentral:rRNA from 1 species
AAAUUGAAGAGUUUGAUCAUGGCUCAGAUUGAACGCUGGCGGCAGGCCUAACACAUGCAAGUCGAGCGGAAACGAGUUAUCAGAACCUUCGGGGGACGAUAACGGCGUCGAGCGGCGGACGGGUGAGUAAUGCCUAGGAAAUUGCCCUGAUGUGGGGGAUAACCAUUGGAAACGAUGGCUAAUACCGCAUGAUGCCUACGGGCCAAAGAGGGGGACCUUCGGGCCUCUCGCGUCAGGAUAUGCCUAGGUGGGAUUAGCUAGUUGGUGAGGUAAGGGCUCACCAAGGCGACGAUCCCUAGCUGGUCUGAGAGGAUGAUCAGCCACACUGGAACUGAGACACGGUCCAGACUCCUACGGGAGGCAGCAGUGGGGAAUAUUGCACAAUGGGCGCAAGCCUGAUGCAGCCAUGCCGCGUGUAUGAAGAAGGCCUUCGGGUUGUAAAGUACUUUCAGUCGUGAGGAAGGCGGCGUCGUUAAUAGCGGCGUUGUUUGACGUUAGCGACAGAAGAAGCACCGGCUAACUCCGUGCCAGCAGCCGCGGUAAUACGGAGGGUGCGAGCGUUAAUCGGAAUUACUGGGCGUAAAGCGCAUGCAGGUGGUUUGUUAAGUCAGAUGUGAAAGCCCGGGGCUCAACCUCGGAAUUGCAUUUGAAACUGGCAGACUAGAGUACUGUAGAGGGGGGUAGAAUUUCAGGUGUAGCGGUGAAAUGCGUAGAGAUCUGAAGGAAUACCGGUGGCGAAGGCGGCCCCCUGGACAGAUACUGACACU